rnacentral:ncRNA from 2 species
AAAGUAAAUAUGCUGCAUCGUGUCACCCAUUAAGACUGCCAAAGACGGCAGGUGCGGUGAUUAGGAAAUCCGGUUAGAGUCCGGAGCUUUGCCUGUUGCUGUAAAUGCAGGAGCUUGUAUUCAUGGAGCAAUCCGGUCACUGGGGAAACCUGGGAAGGCGGAAUCCAAGCGCAGAAGCCCUUUGCUUCCCAAUGCAUGAGCCAGAAUACCGACGAUGCUCGAGCUUGAAGG